GGAAAGGUGUCCGAGCGGCUUAAGGAACUGGUCUCGAAAACCAGCGCUCUCUUAUCGGGAGCCGUGGGUUCAAAUCCCACCCUUUCCG
rnacentral:tRNA from 1 species